rnacentral:piRNA from 1 species
UAUUUCAUUUGCUUCCAUAUCUGCUUAAC